ensembl:lncRNA
GUCCAGGAAGAGGAGCUAGGCUUAAUUCCCUGUCAGUCCGCAGCUCAUGCGUUUGAGCAUCUUCCGCAAGGAUUCUGUUGGAAUGGAGCCCAAAGUGGACGGAGUUAGGAACGACUAUGGGUUCAAUCCACCGCCUUACAACGCAGGCUACGGUUCCGACAGGCCUUACCAAAUUGGCUAUGAGGCGCAGGUGGAGGCGGGGAAGUCCGGCAUCGCGGUGGUGUACCCCCCGGGGGGCUACGACAACACGGCGUAUCCCCAGGGCCAGGCACCGUACGGGGGCAUGCAGUCCCCCGACAGCCCCCCCGAGUACCGGGUGGAGGAGGAGGAGGGGGAGGAGGAGAACUGCUUCAGCGACGGGG